CUGAUGAUGUAACUUCAGUUCAAAAUGACCUUAAAAGAUUUUUAAUUGACAGUACUUAGUACUGUUGGAGCCAUUCCAGGAAAUAGUGUUGUGAUUACGAGGAAUAAUUAACAGGCUUCGGUCCUUGUUGCCAUUAAUCUCUGAGCCAAAGUAAACAGCGGAGUCAAAAAUCUCAUCUUAAGAGCAUGAAUGGAAUUAAAUCAUUUAUUAUGUUGAGCAAGAUCCACCCAUGUCUUAAGAAUCACAAAGAAACAAUGUUCAGCUGCAGAGCGCAACAAGGUGGAAUGUUAUACCUAUUGCAUAAUGGAAACCUGGCUUGAUGUAUCAGAUAGUUGAAUCUUAGUGUGGAUUUCACAGGCAAGCUCGAGCACAGGUUGUCAAGCCGAGGAGUGGUAGUGGGGACAAGCUCCCACUACUUACAAGUUCUCCUCACAGUGUGCACCUCAAAUAGCCUCUGACAACCAAGUCCAGCUCCUGGCCUUCUCGCAUGGCUCAGGCUCUAAACCCGGCAGAACUGACAGGAGAAGGGCCGAAGGCAGGUCCUGGUGCCUUAAAACCAGUGCUUUGGGUAGGUGGAGCUCAUCAGCCUGGGAAGGCAGUCAAUCUAAGAGAGGGAAAACUCAGAUUUCAAACCUCCGCUGCCUUGUGGCCAUAAGCACUUAUGGGAAAGACUUCUCAUAAAGGCUCAGGAAACCCUGAGAACAAAUGCAGAGCUGGAGUCCCUAAGGCAGUCCGACGUUGCCUUCAACCUCGUUCUGGCAACUCCUGCGACGUCACCGGUGCCAAGCUGCAUCAACCCUCGCCCUUCCCUUGGAUAACAUCGGUGGCAUGGAGAGGGGAGACUUGCUGCUUGGGCAACUGUCGGCCUUCCGUACAACCUUGCCCAGGCCUGCGUCCUGGAAAGGCUGAAGCAAGACUUUCCAGGCACAGAUCCAUGGUCUCGCGAGACUAACGGAUGGCAUCCAAAUAUUUUCUAUUUGUACUUGCACAGUUUGUUGAUUUUUGCACACUGGUUGUUUGUCUGUGUUCUUGGGUACGGUCCU